rnacentral:rRNA from 1 species
CAGUAGCCACGGUAAUGCGAGGGGUGCAAGCGUUAUUCGGAUUGAUUGGGUGUAAAGGGUGUACAGACGGCUUAUUAAGUCACUUGUUAAAUUCUUCGGCCUAACUGAAGGUCUGCAAGUGAUACUGAUGAGCUAGAGGGUGGAAGAGAGAAGUGGAAUUCCCGGAGUAGCGGCAAAAUGCGUAGAUCUCGAGAGGAACACCAACGGCGAAAGCACUCUGCUGGGCCGACACUGACACUGAGAGACGAAAGCUAGGGGAGCAAAUGGGAUUAGAUACCCCGGUAGUCCCUGUCUCUUAUAC